rnacentral:rRNA from 1 species
AUUGAACGCUGGCGGCAUGCCUAACACAUGCAAGUCGAACGGUAACAGAGCUAGCUUGCUAGUUGCUGACGAGUGGCGAACGGGUGAGUAACGCGUAGGAAUAUACCUUUUUGUGGGGGAUAACUCGAGGAAACUCGAGCUAAUACCGCAUAGUCUCUUCGGAGUAAAGCUGGGGACCUUCGGGCCUGGUGCAGAAAGAUUAGCCUGCGUCCGAUUAGCUAGUUGGUAGGGUAAAGGCCUACCAAGGCGACGAUCGGUAGCUGGUCUGAGAGGACGAUCAGCCACACUGGAACUGAGACACGGUCCAG